rnacentral:misc_RNA from 1 species
AACAUACCUUUUCAUUGUAUGCUGCAAGUGCACCAUUUUGCCUUGGGCGACGUGUGGUCCAUAUGUUGGAUUCCGAUUAACGGUAUUGUUGUUGUCCCUUUAAAGAGUGAUAUUCGCUCUACGUCUGUAAAAGGAGGUCGAGCGGACCAUGAAACUUGACUCGUUAUCCUCCUGUUUUGUGAAAACAAGCAUGAUAGGGUUGGAUUAUGAUCUCAAGUUGGGCCCUAGGAUACAGAAAGUUGUGUGGGAGUUGAUGUUAAAACGUCGCAAACCCAAAGCGUUGGUACGCUAACGAUGGAUGACAUUCGAGUGUGUUGUGAUUCUUUCAUUCUAGAAAGGUUCAUGCGCGCCGAUGUCGACCAAGGAGUGCUACCUGGUUGAUCCUG